GGGUAGAUGGCACUCAGGUCAGUACCCCUAAAUGGGGAGGCUCUGGCCAGUCACUGCCUUGGCUCUGGGAGCCUGGACUAUAUUUGGAACUCUUAGGGGCCCUGGGUCAUUGUGAAGUCUCCAGCGAGGAAUCUGCCUCUCAUUUGCUUGGAUGAAACACUGUUGAGCAGUUUGGGCUGUGCUGGUUCUGAAGAGUGAAGCAGCAUUGCAGGGAGUUGUACCAGCCUGUGCCCUUGGAUGCCAUUCCAGGCAGCAAUUCUGAAGACAGCUCUGGGGCUCCUCAGGUCUCUCUGCAGUGCUCCUCCUUCCCCUCUGCCUCCACUGCCCCAUCUCACCAGCCCUCCCCACCAACAUUUCCUCCAAGCCUCAACAAGUCACCCAAGAGUAUUCUAAGGUCCCUGCUGGUCUAUCUGACAAUAUGCAGAUAGGCCUUGGUUGCCUUGGCUGGCUGUGACCUUGCUGACAUCUAUAGACAGAGAGGUGGGAAUGAAAGACACAUUACUCCUGGAUGUUGGUGGAGAAGGUGGUGGUUGCAGUUGCUACGCAAGAGUCACCAGGCUGCAGACUCUGUCCACUUCUGAGAGUGCAAUGUCCCCUGUGAUUGGCUGGGAUUUCUGAGCUUUUCAGCUUGCAUAUGGUGAGAAUGUUGGCACACCGCAGCCCUGAGGGCCUGGGCUUUGGACUCCGGCAGUCCCACAUGUGUGUGCUACCUCUGCCGCUCUCUGGUUGUAUGAAGUCAAGCAAUGUCUGUAACCUCACUGAGUCACAGCGCUCUGCUCUGUAGAAUGGAGAUGGGAUCCUCUCUACCUCCUGCAGUGUCUGUGAAUGCCAUAACACAAGCCAGAGUGCUGAGCACCGUGCCCACCCUAGAAGAGGGCUCGGUGUAUAGUAGCAGCUCUUAAUGCUCCCAGGAUGCCUAAUAAAUUCUUUCAGAA
rnacentral:lncRNA from 1 species